rnacentral:rRNA from 1 species
AUUGAACGCUGGCGGCAGGCCUAACACAUGCAAGUCGAACGAGUGGCGGACGGGUGAGUAAUGUCUGGGAAACUGCCCGAUGGAGGGGGAUAACUACUGGAAACGGUAGCUAAUACCGCAUACCAUCGGAUGAGCCCAGAUGGGAUUAGCUAGUAGGGGGGGUAACGGCUCACCUAGGGCACGAUCCCUAGCUGGUCUGAGAGGAUGACCAGCCACACUGGAACUGAGAAACGGUCCAGACUCCUACGGUGGGCAGGUGUGGGGAAUAUUGCACAAUGGGCGCAAGCCUGAUGCAGCCAUGCCGCGGGUAUGAAGAAGGCCUUCGGGUUGUAAAGUACUUUCAGCGAGGAGGCGUUACUCGCAGAAGAAGCACCGGCUAACUCCGUGCCAGCAGCCGCGGUAAUUC